CAAGCAGGUUGCAAUUACAGUGCUUCAUUCUGUGGGAGUGCUGCCAUUAGUCCUGCUGAAAGCAUUGAUGCUGGCUAUUGUGCGAUUUCUCCUUCCGCAUAGGACAAAUCUCCUGUUGGCACCAACAAUG
rnacentral:snoRNA from 1 species